rnacentral:rRNA from 1 species
GACGAACGCUGGCGGCGUGCUUAACACAUGCAAGUCGAACGGAAAGGCCCUGCUUUUGUGGGGUGCUCGAGUGGCGAACGGGUGAGUAACACGUGAGUAACCUGCCCUUGACUUUGGGAUAACUUCAGGAAACUGGGGCUAAUACCGGAUAGGAGCUCCUGCUGCAUGUUGGGGGUUGGAAAGUUUCGGCGGUUGGGGAUGCACUCGCGGCUUAUCAGCUUGUUGGUGGGGUAGUGGCUUACCAAGGCUUUGACGGGUAGCCGGCCUGAGAGGGUGACCGGCCACAUUGGGACUGAGAUACGGCCCAGACUCCUACGGGAGGCAGCAGUGGGGAAUAUUGCACAAUGGGCGGAAGCCUGAUGCAGCAACGCCGCGUGCGGGAUGACGGCCUUCGGGUUGUAAACCGCUUUCGCCUGUGACGAAGCGUGAGUGACGGUAAUGGGUAAAGAAGCACCGGCUAACUACGUG